rnacentral:rRNA from 1 species
GAUGAACGCUAGCUACAAGCUUAACACAUGCAAGUCGAGGGGUAACGAGAGGAAAGCUUGCUUUCCUUGUCGACGACCGGCGCACGGGUGAGUAACGCGUAUCAAACUUGCCCCCAACUAGGGAAUAACCUUGCGAAAGUAAGACUACUACCCUAUAAUUUCCACAGAUGUCAUCUGACGAGGAAUAAAGAUUUAUCGGUGUUGGAUGGGGAUGCGUCUGAUUAGCUUGUUGGCGGGGUAACGGCCCACCAAGGCAACGAUCAGUAGGGGUUCUGAGAGGAAGGUCCCCCACAUUGGAACUGAGACACGGUCCAAACUCCUACGGGAGGCAGCAGUGAGGAAUAUUGGUCAAUGGGCGGAAGCCUGAACCAGCCAAGUAGCGUGCAGGAUGACGGCCCUAUGGGUUGUAAACUGCUUUUAUACAGGAAUAAAGUUAGCCACGUGUGGUUAUUUGUAGGUACUGUAUGAAUAAGGACCGGCUAAUUCCGUGCCAGCCGCCGCGGUAA